UCUGACUCGAGAGAGGCUAUAUAGGGAACUGGCAGCAGCGACGCUCGGUCUUUCACGUCCGGUUUUGGGAGGCGCAGUUGUUGGUACAGGAACAUGGCUCUGAAUGGUGUAAUGGAACUGACACUUGGAGAUACUAGGAUGGAAAGGAAAACUACAAAACAUAUGGGAGAAUAUUUGCUGGAAAAUUACUUGGUUAAAACGUGACAAUCUUAUCGGCAUCUGGGGGUUUUUGAAUACUUCUGAAGCUGUCUAUAUCACUUGACUUACAACCUCAUUUUGAAUGAGGGGUCGCUGUCUGCCCAUUGAAAGGGCCAGUUUGCUGUGAGGUUCCUAAGAUGUAAACCAUUUCUGGCUGUUGCCAUGAGAUACACUUGUAAUGAAAAACUGGUGAUCAGGAAAAGCUCUUCAUUUUACCGACAUGGAAAGAAAACAUACAAAUCAAAACAAAUUAUAUUGGUUUUAAUUUUUGUGAAUAGAUAAUGAGUCAAAAUCAAAUCGAUUAAUUUGUCCAUAAGAUUCAAGCUAUUUCUAUCUAAUGUCACAGUGCUCUAGAGUCACAACUUGUUAACCAGUGGGUUACUUCCCAGGUCUAUUUCUACUUUACAGAAAUAUAUUUAUGAAACAAUGUUUUUAAUGGGAAAAUCUUUACUUUCAGUUAAUCAUACGUGUAAUUAAAUUAUCCUGAAUGAA